AUGUCGGCGGCUAAGUUACAGCACGGUGCGAUAAUACUGAAGUUACGAGUUAUGAAGGGAAAUGACAGCAAUGAGCUAACCCUGGAGCAGCAGGUCAGGCAGCUCCAACAUGCUAUCAAAGACAACACUCUCAAACUGGAGCAGGUCCAGCAGAGAAGACUGCGAGCAGAGGAGAUGAUAAUUCAGUGCACCAAAGAAACUGAGCAGAGAGUCGAUUUGAUGAUGGACAAAAGUGGUGUUGUUGAUGUCUUGCAGCAACUGGGUCAUCUGCUGCAAGAGGAAAGAAACCUCUCUGAACAACUGAAGGAUGACAUGUCUGUGGACAGGACCGGUUUGCAGGAAAGGAGUGAGUGCGUCACAAACAAGGUGAGAAGCCUCACUGCCGAAAUCCUGGAGGUGAAAAAGAGUCUGGCAGAGGCAAAGACUCGUAAUACGCCUAAGCUUUGAUCCACCCACCAACCAGCAAAUCAAAGAGAAAUCAGAGCAAACCCAAGUGAAUCAAUAUUUAAUUUUGUUCAGUAGAUUACAGGCACAUUUGUUUUUAUCUCAGACUGUAUUUGAUAUGUAUAAUCAAUAGUGAAUAUAUAUUUUGUUUCACUCAAUAAAGUGUUUGAUUUGAUCUUGUCCUAGAAGCACUUCUCUCCGCAGGAAUAGCUCUUGACAAUUCACCAAUUUACAAAGUUUCAUAGUACGUACUUGAGUAUGUAUAUUUUUAAAUUUUGUUCAUGCAACAAUAUUUGUAACAGAUUUCAGAGAAAGAUAUUGUACUUUCUUUUAAACUUCGUUAUGUGAUAUCUUAGACGUACAUUAUUCCUUGUUGCUUCAGUAUUAAUGAAUAAGGUCAGUCAGAGUAUGUUUGUUUGAAAGGUCUGACUGUAGGGAAUGUGUACAGACUUUAUCAGUAUAAUGUGUUUAAUAUAAAGAAGACCAAUGUAGUCAGAAUAAAAACCAAGUGGUUGUGUGAACUACUACAAUGAUGAACAAACAAAAUUUGGUUUGUAUAUACAUUUUUUUUUUUUUUGUAUAUUUUGGGCAGUUAAUAUGGCAGAUUUCACUGAGAAUUGCAGAAUUGCAAACUUUUUUUCAUGAGUUGAGAGGUUCUUUCACAGUGACAAAGCAGAAAACUCCCCUUUUAUUUCAGACACAUCAAAUAAACAGAUUUUUUUAUUAUUAUAAUAGGUUGAUAAAUAAAACCACCAUACAGACUUGUGUAUAUCACUCAAAUAGUAAUAUCUCUAAAAAACUGACUUCAUGUAUUUCAGUCACACAUAAUAUUUCCAUCUUUUCAAGUAUUAUACAUAAAAGUAAUGCAUAUGUAAUGCAUUACUUUUAACGGCCUAUAAUAGUUGAAAAUUAAUGCUUAGUUAUUUAAUUUAUUCACAUCGACUCCACAUGAUAGCAAUACUCGAUAUGAAGUAUAAUGAUGUACUUCAUGUAAAGCUUAUGUAAGAGAAUUAGAUGGAAAUUUGAUGUGCACUUAAAAUACGUAAAGUCUGUGUUUGAGGGAAGUUAUUUGCAAGUGUGUGUAAGGCAAUCAUUCAUUGAUGCCCCAAGGGGAUUGGGAAGAAUCUAUGUAUAUAUACACACGCCUAUAUACAGUGUAAAUAUAAAGGAAACAUGUAGAAACGUAACAUAUGUACAAGAUAAUGUAAAAUUGGAAAUAGGUUCAUACACAAGGGACAUAUUCAGAUGGGAAUGUUGAGGAGACCAAAAUAAAUCAUGUUACACUUAUGGUAAUGAGUGUUCAAGUUCAAGAAAAACAUCUGGAAACUAUUUUAUUAGCUUUUGCUCAUCAAAAAUUCAGUAUGUACUUUGGAUUCUCAAGUGGUUUAUUCGCAUGUGUUGCUUAAAGGUGCACUAUGUAGCUCUGGACAGAAAGAUCUUCAUUGAUUAAUUUUAGUAUGUUUUUCUUUUUUUCGUUUCUGUGAAUACAACGACAACAACAAAACGAUUCAUACUGUUUUACUCUGUAGCUAGAGGUGGCAGGGUCCACCAAAUGUAAACAAACACCAUAUUUCAUUUUCCUCUGACGAACAGAUUGUAUAUUCAGUCAUGGAAAGAAAAAAAUAACAUGUCAAUAUUGUAAAUAUCAAAAUUCUGAGUUUUCAUUUCUUUACCAAAAACUAGAUGGCGCGAUAGAUAGAUAGAUAGAUAGAUAGAUAGUAGUUUAAAGGUCACAUACAAAACACAUAAGCAUAAUGAAAGAGUAUAAAAAAGAAAAUGUAAACAAGAAUUUAGUGACAGAAACACUGAAAGCGAUGUCAUAGUGAUAGUCUAGCCACCAAAACUAUUGACUGUCAUGUUACAGUAUGUGCAUACUGAGGUAGUUUGACUGUACAGAGGUUCAACAGUGCCUGUUUUACCGAUUAAAGUGAUUACAGCUUUAAAAAGAAUUGUUCAGAUGAUAUGAAUGAAAACCCAAACGUGGGGACUUAAUACUUCACAGUCAGUCCGUCAUGUUUCCAGUGAAAAAGGCAGAACUUUUCUGUUUUUACAGUCAUCCUUGAGGCAGUAAAACGUGUUUAACAUGUGCUUCGUGAACAUUCAGGUGUCGGUCUGUGAACGCCUCCUUAUCAAGCUAUAUUGACGCUCGCGGGCUUCCGUAGUUAACUCCCGGAAGAAGCUCACAUGAACAUAACGUUAGCGCUGCCUUCAGAGUGAGAGACAGCCCCUUAAGGUAAGUUGUCCGCUAUUUUUAUACUGAGUAAUUGUAACUUAUUUGUUUUAAAACAUUUAAUUGCAUAAUGGAAAGGCCGGUCAGCAUAGACUUUUAUUGAAGAUGAUAGCUGCUGUUACUGUUGGCUACACGUGUCGUUCAAAGAGCAGGUUAACAUAUGGUUACAUCAGCCAAGAUAAAGCUAGCUUUUAAAAAUAGAAGAAGUAGUUGGUAGGCUGUUGACAGCUCAUGGCAGUGAUGUUGCCAGAGAGAAGAGUGAGUAAGUGGUUAACGACAGACCAGUGUUGUUAAUAAUAUUUGUUAUGUCCCAACGAAACGUAUCAUUUUUGCAAAAUGUGGAGAGGGUUUCUC
ensembl:lncRNA